rnacentral:rRNA from 1 species
GACGAACGCUGGCGGCGUGCUUAACACAUGCAAGUCGAACGGUAAGGCCCUUCGGGGUACACGAGUGGCGAACGGGUGAGUAACACGUGGGUGAUCUGCCCUGCACUUCGGGAUAAGCCUGGGAAACUGGGUCUAAUACCGGAUAGGACUCCUGGCUUCAUGGUUGGGGGUGGAAAGCUUUUGCGGUGUGGGAUGGGCCCGCGGCCUAUCAGCGUGUUGGUGGGGUAAUGGCCUACCAAGGCGACGACGGGUAGCCGGCCUGAGAGGGUGACCGGUCAAAGUGGGACUGAGAAACGACCCAGACUCCUACGGGAGGCAGGAGUGGGGAAAAGUGCACCCUGGGCGCAAGCCUGAUGCAGCGAUGCGGCGUGAGGGAUGACGGCCUUCGGGUUGUAAACAUCUUUCAGCGAUGACGAAGAGCAAGAGCCGGUAGUAGCAGAAGAAGGACCGGCCAACUACGUGCCAGCCGCCGCCGUAA